GAUGAACGCUGGCGGCGUGCCUAAUACAUGCAAGUCGAGCGAACAGACGAGGAGCUUGCUCCUCUGACGCUAGCGGCGGACGGGUGAGUCACACGUGGAUAACCUACCUAUAAGACUGGGAUAACUUCGGGAAACCGGAGAUCACAUCGGAUAUUAUAGUGAACCGCAUGGUUCAUUAGUGAAAGACGGUUCUGCUGUCACUUAUAGAUGGUUCCGGGUCGCAUUAGCUAGUUGGUAAGGUAACGGCCUACCAAGGCUACGAUGCGUAGCCGACCUGAGAGGGUGAUCAGCCACACUGGAACUGAGACACGGUCCAGACUCCUACGGGAGGCAGCAGUAGGGAAUCUUCCGCAAUGGGCGAAAGCCUGACGGAGCAACGCCGCGUGAGUGAUGAAGGUCUUCGGAUCGUAAAGCUCUGUUAUUAGGGAAGAACGAAUGUGUGAGUAACUAUGCACGUCUUGACGGUACCUAAACAGAAAGCCCCGGCUAACUACGUG
rnacentral:rRNA from 1 species